rnacentral:rRNA from 1 species
AUAAGAUUGUAGUAUCGCAUGAUAUAGCAAUUAAAGGAGCAAUUCGCUAUAAGAUGGACCGCGUCGCAUCAGCUAGUUGGUGAGGUGAUGGCUCACCAAGGCGACGAUGCGUAGCCGACCUGAGAGGGUGAUCGGCCACAUUGGGACUGAGACACGGCCCAGACUCCUACGGGAGGCAGCAUG